rnacentral:tRNA from 1 species
UCCGUCAUAGUCUAGGUGGUUAGGACACUCGGCUCUCACCCGAGGGACCCGGGUUCAAGUCCCGGCGUCGGAA